rnacentral:tRNA from 1 species
UGGGGUAUAGCGUAAAGGCAGCGCAGCUGGCUCUGAACCAGUUAGUCGGGGUUCGAAUCCCUGUACCCCAG